rnacentral:rRNA from 1 species
CGAGGCAGAAAUGCGUAGUCGAUGGGAAACAGGUUAAUAUUCCUGUACUGGUGAUAAUUGCGAUGGGGGGACGGAGAAGGCUAGGCUGGCCGGGCGACGGUUGUCCCGGUUUAAGGAUGUAGGUGGGUGAAUUAGGCAAAUCCGGUUCGCUAUACACUGAGGUCUGAUGACGAGUCACUACGGUGGCGAAGUAGCUCAUGCCCCGCUUCCAGGAAAAGCCUCUAAGCUCUAGAUUAUCAUUAAUCGUACCCCAAA